rnacentral:miRNA from 1 species
CGGCCCUCAUUCUCCCUGCAG